rnacentral:tRNA from 2 species
GGAAAAGUUGUCAUUGGUAAGACGAGAUAUUUGCUAAAUAUUGUUCCUAGAAUCUGGGUGUUCGAUUCACCUCUUUUCCG